GGCUGCGGAGCGGACCCUUGGAGCCCUCGGGUUCAUGGGAAAUUGUGCGAAGGGAAUUCUGGGGAAGGAGGUUCCGGUUACCCUGAGACCGCGGGUCGCGGUGUGAGGCGGGAAGACCGGACCGUGGGCCGAUGAAUGAGCCCGUGUGUGGUCAGCGACAUUCGGGAAGGAAUAUUUCCUUGUCCUGUGCUCGCUCCCUGCUGGUUGUCUGACUGACGUCUUUCAGCACUCCUUUCGGAGUCCGUCUUCCACAUAGAAAUCGCGGAAAUGGAAGCAGAGCAUCAACCGUGAAAUGACGGUUAUCCGUAGUCGUUUCGAGGCCUCCGCGGGCUCCUCCCGUCCAGACCCGCCUUCCGCAGCGCUGUGGGGAGCACGCGUGACUGCGGGUGGUCUGCUUUCUGGAGGUCACGUCCGCGCUGCGGGGUUUGGCCCCGCUGACACGCACGCGCGCACUCCAGCCGCGGUGCAGUGGCGCCGAGCGCCGAGCGCCAGCGCCCCGGCCGGUGCAUCCCUUGGCUCGUCUCCGUCUGGGCCGGAGCCCGGGACACUCGAUGGCGACAGAACCGCCGGGUGAUGCCCGGAGCUCGAAGUCCAGCACCCGCACGGCUCUCUGCCGAACCUCUGGUGACCUGCGCGUGUCAUUCCGUGGAUUCUGGGUUUGACUCGCGGACGUGUGCAGUAGGGAAGUGUAGCCGCGUGAGCGGAAUGCUGGCACGGCAGUCGAAGCUCUAGACCUCGCCCGAGCUCUGCGCCUCAGCGUCUUCCCCGUCCGUCCACCGAGGAUUCAGAAGUUACUAGAAUACUCGACGGAAAAGCGAACCAACAGUCGCUUGGAAGUUGAGGAACUUUAUCAAAAAGACGUGACUGCUGCUUGACCCAUGAGCUAGACCAGUGCACUUGGAGGUUCCUCCCCUCCCCUGUCCUUGGAGUGUCUUUCCUGCUCCCAGAGGCUGCUCCGAGGACACAGCCUUGAGACGGUGAUGUGCUGAAAAUACCUGCAUGGUGCACAUGACUGGGCCCAGGACUACUCAAAAGAAGAGAAGCAAAUUGUGAAUAACAUACGGAAAGGUGCUCAACUUUAUCAACAAUGAGUACAUAUUAAAAUGACCGUGAGAUAGAGAGCACCAACUCACCGGACGUGCAAAAGCUAGAAUUCCCACGUGUCAAGUAAAAGUGAGUACACUACUUCAGAAUAUGACUCUGAUUUAUUUAGAGGGGUUAAAAAUAUGCAUAACAAGCCUGUAUUUCUAGAGAUACUCAUACUUGGGUGCACUGCAUUGUAUAUACAGAAUUAAUCAGGGCAGCAUCAUUAAUCAUGCUAUUAAAAUAUUGGAAACACCGAAGUAUCCAUCAACAACGGAAUGGAUAAAUAAUACACGACAACAAAGAUAAACUAGAAUCAUACGCAAAAGCUUAGAUGGAGCUUAAGCAUAAUAUUGAGGAAAAGAAGCAAGUUGCCAAGAAAAAAAAGCAUGAAUUUAUUUGUAGUAAAGUUCAAAAAGAGGUAAAACUAAGCUAUUUUAGGGAUGCAUAUAUGUCAGUAAAAUUAUAGAUAAAAGGAAUAAAGUGAUAAAGUCCGGAUGGCAGUUGCCUCUAGGAAGGAGGAGUGGUAAGCGAGGGCCACAUAUAGAUUUCUGGGGUUCUGGCAGUGUUCUUUUUCUGGACCUGAAUGUUGGCUCCUUCACAAUAAGUUAUUGUACUGCUGUAUACUGUUUUGUGUACUUGACUUUUUUGUGUUACGGCCCAUGAUUUUAUUUUUUAUUUAUUUAUUUUUAAAGAUUAUUUAUGUAUUUGACA